AGGACGAACGCUGGCGGCGUGCUUAACACAUGCAAGUCGCGCGGUAAGGCCUUUCGGGGUACACGAGCGGCGAACGGGUGAGUAACACGUGGGUGAUCUGCCCUGCACUUCGGGAUAAGCCUGGGAAACUGGGUCUAAUACCGGAUAUGACCUCCUAUCGCAUGGGUGGGUGGUGGAAAGAUUUAUCGGUGCAGGAUGGGCCCGCGGCCUAUCAGCUUGGUUGGUGGGGUAAUGGCCUACCAAGGCGACGACGGGUAGCCGACCUGAGGAGGGUGACCCGGCCACCGACGUGGGACUGAGACGA
rnacentral:rRNA from 1 species